rnacentral:rRNA from 1 species
AUGCAGAGGCUGUGGAAGGCAUGGGAGUAUGGCAGCCUCGCCGUCUGCUCGUCUUCAGUCUCCAAGUCCAACAAACAUAUGGUGCACUGCUCACCGGGCUCAUAG